ACGAUGGGAAUAGUGUAAGGUUUUUUUUAAUGUUUCCCAGCCUACAAGCGGCUGGUUCACCGUGUUGGCAAGUGUCACGGUAAACAGAAAGUGGUGUUCGCUGCAACCGGAGCAGCUAUAUGGAAUUUCGACGCUGGCAGUACAGGUGACCCGUACCCAAACAAAGGGAUUCGACAUCAACCUAUGCCACGGGGAAAAACUGACUACGCGGGUUUAAUAAGAUUCGCCGGCCAGAAUCCGAGAUUCUUCCCAUUCGAAUCGACCAACUCAUAGGAAGAAACACCGCGCCGACGAAGAACUUUCGCGGAUCGUCGUCUGAAGCGCCUGAAGUUCGACUGAAGUCAUCUCCCGAAGCCAUUUCUUCACCAUGGACAAUAAAGAAAUGACCAAACUCCUUCGACACGAAGGUGGAAGCGUUGUCGCUCAGAAGAACUUCAGGACACCCGUGACGAUUAAACCACUGCUCCCGAAGAAUGGAACAAAGGGAGCUGCUUUGGAUUUUCCGGACAGGGGCCAACAUGACGUAUUUGCUAAACACGUCUAGCACAACAAGCAGGUGUUGGUUUCCCCGUUUACUUCUUGGGAGUGGGCCAAUAUAGUCCAC